AUGUUGAUCGCUGUUUUUUUCUUCAUUAGUGGAGUUGCCUUCAAUGCUGCUGCUCAAAAUCUUGCCAUGCUUAUUGUUGGAAGAAUCUUACUUUGCGGUGUUGGUUUUGCUAAUCAGGCUGUGCCAAUGUUUCUUUCAGAAAUUGCUCCUUCAAGAAUACGUGGUGCUUUGAAUAUACUUUUCCGACUUAAUGUCACUAUUGGCAUUUUGUUUGCUAAUCUUGUCAAUUAUGGCACCAACAAGUAA